rnacentral:lncRNA from 1 species
UGUUAUAAUACCCGAAAAGGAACACAUGUGUCUUUUGUACAGGCUUUUUUUUUUUUUUUUUUUUUUUAAAGCCAGCCUUCCAAAGGCAAGUGACAAAAGAAUUGGACUGGCCUCUUGCUCAGUUGGUCCUGUACUUUCCUCCUGCAGAUACACACCCAGGUGCUCUUGCUGGUUCAGUGUGUUGUCAUAGCUGCUGAGGAACAGUCUCUCCAGUCAGUAGUGGAAACACUUCCCACUUCCAGAAAGCUUUAUCUCCACUCUCGAUGUGAUGUUGUCUCAUGUAGGCAUCUUCUGAGGUCUGCACUGUUGUUCGUAAGCUUCACAGUUCUCAUUGCUCCUGCUCGAGUGCAGUUCGUCAUUAGCUCUCUGUUAUAGUCAUGGUAGAGAUUUGGUUUUCAUUUUGGGAGGCCUUUUUAACUAUUCAAACAAGUUACCCUCGAGGAUGAAAUUUCUCAUACUUGUGACUCGGAAGUGAACUUGUCUUGAAAAGAUUUGUAAAACAAAUCUAAUUAGCUGUUUGGAUUUUGUUGUUGUUUUGUUUUGUUUUGUUUUUGUAUUUUAAGUUCAUGAAUUUUAAACAUUAUAAUAAAUGUGACUGAUCGGUUUUUAACAGAAUAUAUUUUGCUAUGCAGUGAUUUUCUAAUUCUGUCUUCUUUGUGUGCUUUAAGAUCAAAUUUGAAAAUUCAGCGUGUUAAAAAAGAAAUAUUAAGAAGCCUAUAGGUAGCCUAUUGAUAUUUGCAAUACCCACUUUGAAGUAAUUCAGAGUUUUAACUUUCUUUCAACCUACUACCUUUUAUUGCCAAUCGGUAUAACUUUAUGCAGGUGUGUGUGUGUGUGUGUCUGUGUGUGUCUGUAUAUAGUUAUAGAUAAACAUAUUAAUGCAUACUUACAUAUACAAUAAAAGAUACACAAAGACACUUAAUAUUUAUGUUAAUUAUAUUUUUAUAUAAAAGAAAAAGAAUCCGCGAACUUUUAUCAUUUUUCUGUAAUUUUAAAAUCCUAUAAACUGUUAGUUCUGAUUAUUAUAUGUUUAUAAACAUAUAUUUAUAUCCUUAUAAGUUACCUUAAUUUAUAUUUCAUAGGUUUUACACACUCCUCCAUUUUAUGCAGAUAUAUUAAUGUUGAAGUUUAUUCAAAUACCACUUGCUGUGUUCCGUAUCUGUUAGUGUGUUAACAAGUGGUUUGGUUUUUUGUUUGUUUUUUUCUUUAAUUUUGAUUUAUUCUUCUCUAAGCUAGACAGAGUAUAUGUUUCUCUAUGUCACUGAUAUUCUGAGAAAGAAACUUGUAAAACUGUGAUCUCCUGGAAAGCUUUCAAGUGAACAGGACAUCUAUAUGCUCUUUAGCUUGCUUCUCCUGGAUCCAUUUGUCCAUGCUGUGCCAUCAGCAACCCUGAGAAAAACGGCGCUAGUAAGGAUGGCACAAUGAGUUUUCUGAUCAUAGACCUAGGAAGGACCAAAGAAAAUUGUGGCAUAUGGAGGAACAUGCCAAGACCUUCUCCAAUAAAAUCAGCUGCUUUAUGCUGGUGGGUUGGAUUUUUUGUUGUUGUUGGUUUUUGGGAGGUUUUUUUUUUUUUUUUUUUUUUUUUUUAUUUCCUUUGAAUUUUUGUUUGUGACUUUUUUGGCUUGCUGGAGCAUUUCCCUAUAAUCUUAGGAAGCCACAGCAAAUUUUCAAUGCCACAGCAACACUGUGCAGCCAAGGAGGGGCCCAGAGAGCUGAUCCUGGGGGCUGGAGCCUUUCAGCAAUCAUACAAGGUAGGGGGUAAGGAAGCUAUCCUUUUCUCUGAAUUUUCCUGGUUUAUUCAGUCUGCCAGGGACAGGGAUUUUCUUCGCGUAUCUUUCCUUCACUUACUUGAGGCUCUCCCUUCAAUGCCAAUGGCUUUCUAUUGCUUCUGAGAGAUGGUUCACAUGGCAGAGCACCCGCUUCUGUUCUAUAUUGAAACAUGGAAAGCUUUGAAAACUGGGAAGGACAAAGGAAAGGGGUCUUAGGGCAUCUGGGAAAUAUCAAAAAGAGCAUUAGGCUCACAGCUAGUUUUUGCCGGUCAUGUCUGUAACUUCUCUGUUCUCUACAGGGCUUCUCAGUGUUAGAGUACUGAAGGGGAUAACUCUAGGGUGCCAGCGAGGAUCUAACUGAUUCAGUAGAUGGAGCUCUUCGCCCUAAGUCUGGAUUUAAAUUAAAGUCCCACUGCAGUUGCUGGGACUCUCUGUAUUAAGGUGUGUCAUGAUACACACAUAAAACCAAAGCUUGUGUAGCUGCAGGAAGAGAUUUCCUGGCACUUUUUAAAGGCAUGAAGCAUGUGUUCCGAAACACAAAACUGCAGGGGAGCAGUAAAGAUAGAUAGGGUAGGAAGUGAAGUUUACCUAUCUAAACUUCUCCCUGUGGGUUUGAAUACUCCUAAGUGUGAAGUAAAACCCAGUUACCAUACAAGGGACUGGUACUUUAUAGACUGGUACUCCAAACCUAGAAAAACAGAUAAUGUGUACAGGUUUGGCUGUGUUUGUGACAAGCCUUUCAAGCUGUUUGAACUGUACGGCUCUCCUUUUAUUUGACUCCGAAAAGGAAUCUUAAUGCUGAAAUGCAGUUGUUUCAUCUAGUUAGUCUAGAGAAUCUGACGAAUUGUGACAGUACUGUGGACAGCACAGCAGAUUUGUAAGGUGCCUUUAUAGGAGCAGAAAUACCCAACAGUGACCGAAAAUGGAUCUCUAGUGUCUGCUGUAAUAUAGAAAAAAACCCACUUAUUUAUCAAUUUUUAAAUUAAUCAAAAUGAGUAAUUGCCAUAGCAUUCUUGUCACUUUGUAUUAUCUUCAGUACCAAUACUAAGUUUGAUCAUUGUCCCUCCUUGGUGCCAGGAAGGAAGGUAGAUGUAUGCAAGAUGGAAUAAAUUAUCUUCCUUGAUCUAAUGUCUUCUCACAGAUUAGAGGUGUUAUUGAGAAUCUCUUGUUAAAUCUUGAUAAGAUCAUUUGGCCAAAACAGAACUGGCAAUGGCCUUACUACCAAAAUAAAAAGCAUUUUUAAGGCCUUGGAUUUCCUUUGCACACCACGUGUCUGAGUUUGAUACAGUCCAGGAAAAUAGAGAGGAUGAGAGAAAAUUAUUCCUAAGCAGCCGCCGUAGGCCAAACACUGAAACAGUGCCAGCCCGGACCAAUCAGGGGGGCUUCUUAGGAGAUGUGUGCUUUGCUGAGCUCUUCUGUGAAGAGAAGAGGGAGGAAGCCCUUGAAACUGCAUUAGGAUGAAUGAGUCUUCACUAAUUUCAGCAAAGUCCAUGGCAGUGAAUUUGAUAACUUCUUCCUUCUGUAGACAUCUGAGGUUCCCAGGCCAGCAGAGACUCCCUUGUCAUCGCACUGACACAUCUUUUGAACAAAAGUAUCUUUCUGAGUUUAAACAAGUGAAAAACUUCUCAUAGAGAGCAAAGAGUAAAAUUAAUGGAAACUCAAAAUCAAUUCCAACCCCAUUUCUGGCAUGAUGAGAGUAACAUUUGUGCUGUGUUUAAAGCAGUUUAACACAAGAAAAUGAUAAAGUGAUCAAUAUACUUAAAGCCAAAAUUAACCAGGAGAGAACAAUCUGCAAUCCGUUCCCAGCCCGAAACUCUACACUUUAGAUUAAACACGAAAUAAAUGAGUAUAUAUUUUACAGAGUGGUACUAUAAGCCUUAUAACAUAAACAGCAAUGCUGAGAUGCCAGCUAGCCAGUGUAUUAUUUAAGCUAUGUUUUCAGAGCUUGGGAUAAACAUUUCUGGAGCUAAAGAAUUGUGCAUUUAUUUAUCCGCAUGCACAUACUAUGACC